AGCCCUGUAUGCUUGAGGUCUUCUAAAGGCACGUUCAAUAUAAGGCAGUGAGAAUCACAUCAGACUGGGUUAUCUCACUGCUGGCUGAUGUGAAAAUGAACCUGGAGUGUGUUACACUGAGAUGGCAGCAGGAGACCUGAACCAUUUACAGGAAGAUGUUUAUUCAUCAAGCGUCAUCUUUGGAAUCUCUCCCUACAGAUCAAUCUGUCUUGCUCUGGUUAUCUUUCCCAUGUUCGGGCUCCUAAGGCAGGAGCAACGGUGCUGUGCCUGAACUUAACCUGCAGGGCUGACUUUGGUCUGUGCUAAGAUACACCUCCAGGAUGCACUGCUGCCCAUCCUGCUCACCCAGGCACCUGCUGGAGGUUCUGUGGCCAUUGGGAAAUACCCCAGAAACCAAGCACCAGAAUCAUUAGCUGAGAAUGGUAAAAGAAAUAACCAGCUGGAUCCUUACUUGUCUUUACUUCUGUUGUCGUCUUUGCUCGUUGCUGCUCACUCUCAGCUGUCCUAUCUAGGUCAGGUAUUUGGGGAUUACUCUCUCCUGCUGUGAUAUCUUUGUGUCUCAGUUUCUCUUCCAUAGACAGCUGUUCUGUCUGUGGCUGGCAGGGCUUCUGUACAGGGGGACAGGCUUUCCUGCUCCUGCCUUUGCCUCCUUUCUCCUCAGUCCCUCUUCUCUCCCUGGCCAGUCCUUUCUUCCCCCACGGAGGACUCGUCUUACUUUUC